rnacentral:misc_RNA from 1 species
GUAAACCUUGCCAGACAACUCGCUGGAUUCUUCGCAGGAUGUUUAUAAUAGCAACCCAACAAUUCAACAACACAUUUGCAGUAAUGAGAAGAAAGUAUUUGGCUACUGAUGCUCUUAUUCAACUAAAAUAAAUUACGUUUUUGUUAUGCAAUUUAGUCCUGAAGUUGCAUUUUAUUUUACAUUCUAAAGACACCAAAUUUGGUGUCUUCUAAAGGACGGUUCAUGGAAGCAGAGAUGCAAAGACCUAUGAUUUUCCUUGUGUCAGCAGGAUCAAUGAUUCCAUCAUCCCAGAGCCUUGCUGUGGAGUAAUAAGAAUUUCCUUCUCUCUCGUACGCAUCCACAACCUUUGUCUUGAAUCUAUCCUCUUCUUCCUUUGUCCACUGUAAUGCACAAAGACGUACCCUUAAACAAUUAAGUAUCACCAAUAUUUGUACAAGGACUUGAAAAUGUUUAAGAAAGUGAAGUCACCUGAAUUCCUUGCUUUUUCUUGUUUGCCUUUUCUAUUUGAGACAGUACACCAGCAGCCUGAAAAUUGCCAAGCAAAAUAAGCAAAUCAGAACUCAAAGAGAAAGUGAUAGAUUCCAGACCCAAGAAAUUAGAAUCUAUUUAGAAAUUAUCAUGCAAAUUCAGAAAUGCAAAGGAAAAGUUUAACAAUUGCUGAGAGAAGAAUAAAAAACAUGUGAAGGAAUUAAGGAAAAAUACAGCAAGCCAAAUAAAGUUGGAAUAAUUUUCAAACUUUUGCUUUACUAAUGAACCAGUUGCUGUGUUCAUGAUAAACAAAUGUUAUUAUCAAUUGUUGGACUUGUCAGUUAGGUGCAUCCCCUAAAAUGUACUGAUGUCUGAUACACUGAAUCUGUAUCCAUGUUGACAUAGGCAUCUGAUCCAAAGUGUAGAAAUUCAAGAGAGGACAGCCAAAUUAAAGGGCCUAGAAAGCACGGCCAAAGUUGGGAGGUGUAUCUCAGCUGGCCGAACUAAUCAACCCUUUGCCCCUUGAAGUAGCCUGGAAACCCCAAGAGGCCGAUAGUGGAAUAUCAGCCUCUGGGUCACACUUGACAUCCCCCAAACUCGAACUUGGGAUGUUUCCAUCCAGGCCAGCACAUAAAAAAACUAGAAGGUAAAAAAAAAAGGCACAGCCAAAAUUAGUCAGACAAAUAAUGCACGUGAGAUCCUCAUAAUAACUCAAAUGUUUCAUUUCUAGAUGUAAUUGUUCAUUUAAAGCUGACAUAAAAAACUGUUAACGUGUUUAUGUAAAAAGAAGUUCAGAAACUACCUGAGCACCACCCAUCACAGAUAUUCUAGCAUUUGGCCAAAGAAACAAGAAAUCAGGACUAUAUGCACGACCACACAUUGCAUAAUUUCCAGCACCAAAGCUUCCACCAACAAUGAUAGUUACCUUGGGGACCUUUGCACAAGAAACAGCCAUCACCAUUUUUGCACCAGAUUUUGCUAUACCAUUUGCCUCAGACCUUGAACCAACCUGCCAAAUGAAAAUGGAGUCAUUGUUCCAUGCUAGUCAAUUUAAACCAGCUUAAUAUCUUAAAAGGUUGUGUUUUUCCCAGUGAAACAGAAGCAAAAUCAUGGUUGAACCAAAAGCAACAUUGUUACGGUCCCAAGAAACUAAUCUGGUUACAGGGCAAUCUAACAGAAAAUCAAAGAGAGGAUCAGCUUGCUGGGAAUUAUUUUUCUUAGUUCUCCUUUGUUACCUAUUUUGGAUUUUAGGGAAUUAGAGAGCAUUGAAGAACUCUAAGAUCUCUGAGUUUCAAGGACUCAACCUUGUGAAAAUACUUGCUUCUUUCCAUUCAUAACCAUAAAUUAAUAAUAGAUUGUUUGAACACAAAAACUAAUUUGGUAACUAUCACCCACAAAGGAAACUACUCCACAAUCAAAACAACACAAGAGAAGAAACUGCCCCACAAUUUAACCAAUAUAAAGGAGUAAAAACAAAUAAAAUAUCACACAACUACUACUUUUAAGAGAAAUUCUGAGGUAGACUCUACCAUGUCAUUCACAGAUUAUACCAAUGGUAUCAUCCCAUGUUAGGAUAGUGAUGGACAAACUCGUCAAUUAUCUAUAAUUAUCCUUGAAUUGUGGAUAUGUGAAAAAAAAUCAUUGGAUAAAGCUCUAAACACAUAACACAAAGAUUAAAUUAAAAUAAAAGCAUCAUGUAAUAUCUUAAACAUUAUAAUAUACAAGACAAUGAAACGACAUACAGUUUUGUAUAUAUUUGCAUAAAUUCAUAAAACAAAGCUAGCAAUAAUUUGUCUUUCAUCCUACAUGCCAUUUUUCAUUCUAGAAGAGAAUUCAUAUAAACUUUCUGGCCUGGAUUAUAUUAAAGGUCACUCGUGUUUUCGUAAAAGGGAAAAAUGUCAAAACUGUGAAAACCUCAUUUGACUACUUUAGGCAUAUCCAUGCAAUAGGAUAUCAGUGUAGAACAAGCAAAGCAGAUAUUUUUUUACUGGAUUUGAGUUAAAUGCUUGGGCUUCCCAUUUUGUUCAUUUUAAUUAGAAAAAAAAAUGAAGCGAUAUGAGAAACAUGUACAGUUUAAGAUCUUAAGUUUCAAUCUUUUUUUUUUUUUUAAUCCAUUCACUCUCAUUUCCUUCCUUCAGUACUUUCCUUUCAUAUUGAAUUCCAUGUGCCUUCAGUAACCUCAUAUUAUGGAAUUUUUAUUUGGUGAAAUCAAUAUACAUACAACAGUUUCAUCAUAACCAUUAUCAUGGUGGGACCUACAUGAGACCCAUAACAAUCAAUGGUUAUAAUGAAACCGUUGUACAUACAUCCAUUUCAUUGUAUAAUUUUUUGAAAUUAUGUGGCUCAGUCAAUUCUUUUUUUAAAAUCACCCAUGCUAAAGUAUGUGUUCGAAUUUUUAAAAGCAACAAACAUAAUAGUUCUACUUUAUUAAUUAGUUCAGUAUGUUCAUUCUCAUAAGAUUAUAUACAACAAAAUCAGAAAUAUCUUGAAAGCAAGACCGAAUAACGUACCAUGAAUCCAGUAAUGUUCUGAAGGAAAACCAAAGGAAUGUUACGUUGAGUACAUAGUUCAAUAAAAUGGGCCCCCUUUAGAGCAGAUUCAUUAAACAAUAUCCCAUUGUUUGCAAGAAUGCCAACAGGUUGCCCAUAAAUUCUAGCAAACCCUGUUACAAGAGUCUGUUCAACAUGCAACAGAAUCACAUCAUUUAACAGAUUUCACAAGGACAAUUCAUAAGAUUAGUAAUUCAAGUGAUUAAAUUGUCCUCACAGUUCCAUACAGUUUCUUGAACUCAUCAAAUUCACUACCAUCAACAAUUCGAGCAAUAACAGAGCGGAUAUCAAAGGCCUGCUUAAGGUCAGCUGGCGCAAUAGAACGAAGCUCCUUUACAUCAUAUAAUGGUUCUUUAUAAUCAAGAUUAAGAUUAUGCAAUCCAUUCAUCAUCCGUAGUUUUCCAGCCAUGUGCAAGUUCUUGAUGAUGCUCCUUCCAAUAGCAAGUCCAUGCAAUUCAUCUUGAGCAAAAUAGUCUGAAACUCCAGACGUCUUGCAAUGAAGAGCAGCACCCCCCAAAUCCUCAGCAGAGACUUCCUCUCCUGUAGCAGCCUACCACAACUUCUCCUUUAGAUCUAAUUUCAAAUUUUUAAGAAUUUGAAUCUGUUUGUUAAUUCCCAUACACAUAAAACAUAGAUCAAGAAGCUUCUCUACUCCCUCUUCAAUCGCUUAUAUUUGGGAGGGAGUAUUCGUACUCUUUGUUCCAUUUUUUUUUCUCAUUUUGUAGUUAUUUACAGGCAUGCAAAAAAAAUAUAUCCACAUAUGCCAUGUUAUCCUUCAUAGCCAAUACAAAAUAUAAAUAGAACAUAUUAGUAACUACAGCAUCAAGUAAUUUGAAACACUAGCAGUUUGGAACUGACCUUCACAAGUGGUGGUCCAGCUAGAAAUAUGGUUGCGUUUCCUUUGACCAUUACACUUUCAUCAGCCAUUGCAGGAAUAUACGCACCACCAGCAGUGCAGGAACCCAAUACCAGUGCAAUUUGAGGAAUGCCUUCAGCAGACAUUAUGGCUUGAUUGUAGAAAAUUCUACCGAAAUUGUCCCUGUCAGGAAAGACCUCAGCCUGCUUUGGAAGAAAAGCGCCUCCACUGUCGACAAGAUAUAUACAUGGUAAUUUGCAAUGGAGAGCAAUUUCUUGUGCCCUGAGAUGUUUCUUCACUGUGAUUGGAUAAUAAGUUCCCCCCUUAACUGUAGGGUCAUUUGCAACAAACAUACAAAGGCGACCAUGAACUGGACCAAUUCCAGUUAUUAUUCCUGCUGAUGGUAAGGCAUCUUCAUAUAAUUCAUGGCCUGCAAGCUGUGAGAGCUCGAGGAACGAAGAUCCAGGGUCAAUUAGCCUAUCAAUUCUUUCUCUGGGCAAAAGCUUGUUCCUACUUCUGUUCCUUUUCACAGCUAAAUCUCCUCCUCCAGCCAAAACCUUAUUUAUGUGGGAUUGGAGAUCAGAUAUCAGGCCAUCCAUGGCAUUGGAGUUACGAGUAAAGGCCUCGGAGUUUCUGUCGAUGCCAUUGGGAAGGACUGCCAUGCAGAAAUGUCUUCUCUGCUGGAGAAAAUGAAUUGGGUUUGCUUUCCAUGGAUAUGAAUUCAAUUGUAUGGAGGCUGAAAUUGCUUUCCUCGCCAAUUUCCUCAACAUGUUUGAUAUGCAAGUUCUUUUAUUAAUUUCUUUUUUUUUUUUCUAUCUUCUUCUUGUUUUUCUUCUCACAAUAAAAAUAAUAGAUGGUUUGACAGGGACAAAAGCUAUUAAUCUCCCAAAUUCUCUAUCGUCUUUGCUUGAUUGAUUGCUUGUGUGGAAUCCAUAUCCAUUCCCACACUUCUGCUUAUCAU